rnacentral:lncRNA from 1 species
CAGAUAAAAAGAUUUUGGAGAAAACAUUGGUGAAGAAUUUCAUCUGUGAAUCUUAGCUCUGCAAUGCAGUCUGCAUAUUUCUAGUGAAUUGAGCAAUUCUGUGUGGUUGAGGAUUGACAGCAUAAUGGAAACAGAGCAAACUGCAGAAUUUAUCACCAGGAUCAAGAGGCAACUUGAGGCCAAUUUUGUGUGCUCAGGGAUGGUAGAAAACACUGACAAAAUCAAGCAACCAAA